rnacentral:tRNA from 1 species
UUCAACUUAAUAUAUUUUAAUAUUAAAGAUUGUAAAUCUUUCUAAGGCAAAGCCAGUUGAGA